GGCGGGCGUUUGAAAUCAGUGCUUUAGGGUAGACCCUAAACAUCAUUUUAUACCUUCGAGAACCAAUUACUUAAUGUCUCUUCCGUCUUUCCCUUCCCCGACCCCCUCCCAGACUCCUUCAUUCCGGUGCUGCGUGGACGGAAAGCCCCGGGUAGCCGACACCACGUCCCCGGCUAGCGAGAGAGAGCGUAGAGAAGGAUUACACCAAACUGUUUAAAUCCAACGGCUCCAGCUUCCUCUCUCCUGAGCUAGACCCAACAAGCCUAGAGAGUUGGGCUACGGAAAAACUAGUGUUUUCAUUUAAUUGGACAUGAAGAAAGAACAAAUAUGUACGGGGGCAACCACGAUCUUUAUAAAGAACGUAAGUUCCAGGAAAGCAGGAACCUUGUCUCUCUUGUUCACUGGUGUAUCCUCUGCAUGUAGAACAGUGCCUGGCACAUAAUAGGUGCUGAGCUUUGUCUAAACACUGCCUUGAAGACACUACCUUUAGGAUACCCACCCAAGACUGAGUGAUUCAACAAACCUCAAGAGGACAGAACCAGGUGCCAACAGAGGAGCAUCACAGAAUCGCAGGCACAGCCACCCUCAUUUCUGGGCAAAUAUUCUACCACGAGUGCUAUUCCCUGAUGAAUCAGCAAGCCUAACAAACAUUAUCCUUUAAUUUGCAUAGUAAUAGUAGUCCACCGGUAUUUCCAGCUGACACAGACACUCAUUCAUUUUUGAAAAAGUAGCAUUUUCCAGCAUCCUCGAAUAUCCAGAAGAUAUCUAAAAAGUUUGGGCUUUGGUGCUUAUUAAUGAAAACCAUGAAGUCUAAGGCCAACUUUGCGCAGAACCCAAAUUGUACCAUAAUGAUAUUUCAUCCAACCAAAGAAGAAUUUAAUGACUUUGAUAAAUACAUUGCAUACAUGGAAUCCGAAGGCGCACACCGCGCAGGCCUGGCCAAGGUGAUUCCCCCCAAGGA